ensembl:lncRNA
CCUCGCUGGCCCCAGGAAGAGGUUUCAGGGAGGAUAUUCCUAGCAGCUGCCUAAACCACUGGUUUCGGGGAUCCUCCCUGCUUCUCCUCUGCUCAGCACUGGCUGCCCAUAUGUGCUUUUCCUUGGUGGAAUGGGAAGACACCUCUGGACAAGCUGAUGAGCUCCCAGACCCAUCAUUUCAGAUCCAUACGGACUGUAGCCUGCCAGGCUCCUCUGUCCAGGGGACUCUCCAGGCAAGAAUACUGGAAUGGGUUGCCAUGCCUCCUCCAGGGGAUCAUCCCCAUCCAGCGAUCGAACCCAUGUCUCAUGUCUCCAGCAUUGGCAGCAGUUCCAGGGAUGAUGGCUCUAGUCAUCUGACAGUGCCAGCGUCAGAAGAAAAGACUACAAGACAUUUCUUCACUGGGGAAGGAGGAGGUAGUCGUGCCAACACCACCGUCUCCCACACCUGCCAACGAUCUCGCGUCUCCCAGUUCACGCUUCUCUGAGCAGCAGAAACAUUCAGCACUGUCAUAAACCUGCUUCCCUGUGCUUUGCUACGCAAGCACCUUUCACCUGCAGCAUUUUUCAGGGCUUAUUUU